rnacentral:rRNA from 1 species
UACAGAGGGGGCAAGCGUUAUUCGGAAUUAUUGGGCGUAAAGCGCACGUAGGCGGCGCCGUAAGUCAGGGGUGAAAUCCCGGGGCUCAACCCCGGAACUGCCCUUGAAACUGCAGUGCUAGAAUCUUGGAGAGGCGAGUGGAAUUCCGAGUGUAGAGGUGAAAUUCGUAGAUAUUCGGAAGAACACCAGUGGCGAAGGCGACUCGCUGGACAAGUAUUGACGCUGAGGUGCGAAAGCGUGGGGAGCGAACAGG